GCCAGAGUAUCCAAUGGCAAGAAGGCACGUUUUCUGUUCUGUACAUCUUAUCUCUUGCAUGAAAACGACCAAGAGAGUAAUGUAGAGGCAAAGGCAGAGCCAGAUGUUGGAGCAGUUGAUUUCAGGUGCUGAAUUUUGCGCAUUGGUCCCUCUCUACUCCAAUGAGCAGCAAAAGAUAAAAAAGAAUGAAGUAGUAAAACCCAAAUAUCUAAUCUGAUGGAGUAGGAGACACACAGGUGUUCAAGGAUGAUUAGGUAACCAUUCCAUCAGUUGUGCUAGAUUUUAGAUAAUCAAAAUCAUGCUUGCUUAUUUUCUCAGACGUAUCCUCUCUUUCAAUCUAUAGAUGGAAAACAAAAAUAUAUGUCCU
rnacentral:misc_RNA from 1 species